AGAGCGAACGCUGGCGGCAGGCUUAACACAUGCAAGUCGAGCGGGCGUAGCAAUACGUCAGCGGCAGACGGGUGAGUAACGCGUGGGAACGUACCUUUUGGUUCGGAACAACACAGGGAAACUUGUGCUAAUACCGGAUAAGCCCUUACGGGGAAAGAUUUAUCGCCGAAAGAUCGGCCCGCGUCUGAUUAGCUAGUUGGUGAGGUAACGGCUCACCAAGGCGACGAUCAGUAGCUGGUCUGAGAGGAUGAUCAGCCACAUUGGGACUGAGACACGGCCCAAACUCCUACGGGAGGCAGCAGUGGGGAAUAUUGGACAAUGGGCGAAAGCCUGAUCCAGCCAUGCCGCGUGAGUGAUGAAGGCCCUAGGGUUGUAAAGCUCUUUGUGCGGGAAGAUAAUGACGGUACCGCAAGAAUAAGCCCGGCUAACUUCGCGCCAGCAGCCGC
rnacentral:rRNA from 1 species